GCCGGGUGCAGUGGCAUGUGCCUGUAAUCCAAGUCACUGGGAGGCUGAGGUUGGUGGAUCAAGUGAGCUGAGGAGCUCUGGGCUGCAGCACGCUAUGUCGAACGGGUGUCCACGCUUAGUUCGGUAUCGAUAUGGUGUUCCUAGGGGAGCCUGGGACCACCAGGUUGUCUAAGGAGGGGUGAACCGGCCCAGGUCGGAAACGAAGCAGGUCAAAUCCCCCGUGCUGUCCAGUGGUGGGAUAAUACCUGUGAGUAGAUGCUGCAGUGCAGCCUUGGCAAAACAUCGAGACCUAAUCUUUU
ensembl:misc_RNA Metazoa_SRP Metazoan signal recognition particle RNA